AUGAACGCUGGCGGCGUGCUUAACACAUGCCAGUCGAACGAGAAGUGAAGACGGAACCCUUCGGGCGGAAGGCUUUAUUUCGAGUGGCGGACGGGUGAGUAACGCGUGGGUAACCUGCCUCAUACAGGGGGAUAACAGUUGGAAACGACUGUUAAUACCGCAUAAGACCACAGCACCGCAUGGUGCGGGGGUAAAAACUCCGGUGGUAUGAGAUGGACCCGCGUUCGAUUAGCCAGUUGGCGGGGUAACGGCCCACCAAAGCGACGAUCGAUAGCCGAUCUGAGAGGAUGACCGGCCACAUUGGGACUGAGACACGGCCCAAACUCCUACGGGAGGCAGCAGUGGGGAAUAUUGCACAAUGGGGGAAACCCUGAUGCAGCGACGCCGCGUGAGUGAAGAAGUAUUUCGGUAUGUAAAGCUCUAUCAGCAGGGAAGAAAAUGACGGUACCUGAGUAAGAAGCCCCGGCUAACUACGUG
rnacentral:rRNA from 1 species